rnacentral:misc_RNA from 1 species
CAGCAGAACAGUAAAAUAAAUAUUCAUAAGUUCAAUCAAUAGUUUCUUCAUUAUUCGGCACAUUAUAUAACAGCUAUUCAUGGAAUUUCAUCUCCAGGAUCGGAUUCCACAUUUUUCAGAGAUUUACACAAUACUAAUCAAAUCUUCAACACACUUCACUGCAAAUGUUCAAGACCAUAUAUAAGCGUUAAGGAAUGUCAAUAUGAGCUGAUUAACCUCAUCAGGUGAUUGCUCCUGAACAAAAUGGGUUCCUUCAGGCAAGUAUAUAAUCUUCAGAU